GCGCAAGUGGCGAAACAGGUAUACGCGCCAGACUUAGGAUCUGGUGCCUUCGGGCGUGCGGGUUCGAGUCCCGCCUUGCGCA
rnacentral:tRNA from 1 species